GACGAACGCUGGCGGCGUGCUUAACACAUGCAGGUCGAGCGACUGCAUUCUUUUCGGAGGGUGUAUGGAGCGGCGAACGGGUGAGUAACACGUGAGUAAUCUGCCUUUGGCUUGGGAAUAACUUCGGGAAAUCGGGGCUAAUGCCUGAUGUUUACUGUCUGCUGCAUGGUGGGUGGUGGAAAGAUUUUUUGGCCAGGGAUGGA
rnacentral:rRNA from 1 species